GAUGAACGCUGGCGGCGUGCCUAAUACAUGCAAGUCGAGCGAACAGACGAGGAGCUUGCUCCUCUGACGUUAGCGGCGGACGGGUGAGUAACACGUGGAUAACCUACCUAUAAGACUGGGAUAACUUCGGGAAACCGGAGCUAAUACCGGAUAAUAUAUUGAACCGCAUGGUUCAAUAGUGAAAGACGGUUUUGCUGUCACUUAUAGAUGGAUCCGCGCCGCAUUAGCUAGUUGGUAAGGUAACGGCUUACCAAGGCAACGAUGCGUAGCCGACCUGAGAGGGUGACCGGCCACACUGGAACUGAGACACGGUCCAGACUCCUACGGGAGGCAGCAGUAGGGAAUCGUCCGCAAUGGGCGAAAGCUUGACGGAGCAACGCCGCGUGAGUGAUGAAGGUCUUCGGAUCGUAAAACUCUGUUAUUAGGGAAGAACAAAUGUGUAAGUAACUAUGCACGUCUUGACGGUACCUAAUCAGAAAGCCACGGCUAACUACGUG
rnacentral:rRNA from 1 species